CAACUUGGGAUCAUUUCGCUCAUCCCUAAGGUGCUUGGGGCCUCCGACAUCCGCUAGUUUCACCCAAUCACAGCCAUCAAUGUGAUUUUCUGGAUUCUGGCGAAGUGCGCCAAUAGGGUGACCCUCCUUGCUGACCAUAUUACCCACCCCAACCAAUCCGCCUUCAUUCAAGGGCGGUAUAUCCUGGAUGGGGUGCUAGUUCCUCACGAAGUCCUUCAUGAGGUGCGGUCUAAACACCUCAAGGUAGUGUUCCUGAAGAUCGAUUUCCAUAAGGCGUAUGACACUGUUAGUUGGUCCUUCCUCCAGGAAGUUUUGCUUCGGAUGGGCUUUGACGACCGGUGGAUCACUAGAGUGAUGCAGAUGGUCUCCUGCGGUUGCACCACCGUGAACAUCAAUGGGGAGAUCGUCCCUUACUUCCCUACCCUUUGUGGGGUGAGACAAGGCGAUCCCUUCUCCCCAUUCUUCUUCAAUAUGGUGGUGGACGCUCUUGCCGCCAUCCUGGAUAAGGCUAAGGCUGCUGGCCAUAUUCGUGGGAUCACCCCCACCUGGCCGGCGGCUCCGGGAUCUCCCUUCUCGAGUACGCUGACGACACCAUCAUCAUGGUCGAAGGCUCGGAGAUGCACAUCUCUCAUCUUAAGUUCCUUCUCCUUUGCUUCCAACAAAUGUCUGGCCUUAAGAUCAACUUCGACAAGAGUGAUGUGA
rnacentral:rRNA from 1 species